CCUUUCCUCCUCUCAUCCCCACCUCCCCAGCAAAACCUCUCUCUCCGGCACCGGAUCCCGGCGACCGCGCUCCACCCUCCGCCUCCCGGCAUCCCGCUCCAGUCGCCGCCGCCCGACCCGGGUGCUCCUCCACGUCGCCUGCAGCUCCCCGGUCGAGUCAAUCCCCAUGGCGGCUGCGAUGGCGGCGGAGGAGGAGGCGCGGCUGCUGCGCCUGGAGGAGCAGGCGGAGCACGGCGGCGGUGGCGUCUGGGAGUAUCUCUGCCUCGCCCGCCGCCUCCGCGCGCCCCGCCCCGCCCACGUCCUCCGCGUCGGCCUCGCCCUCCUCAACGACGCCUCCGCGCGCUCCCGCCUCGGCUCAGAACGUAAUUGCGCUCUGCCCUCCACUGACUCUCGCUGAUCCGCACGGUCCCGGUUUGUAGCUGUAGAUGCAUUGAUCUCGCCGGCAGCCUCCUCCCGGACAGAUCCCCGCCACCACGAUCCAUUUUUACAUGCGGUACGACUGGCUGAAUUUUAGGCUCGUUUUUUUGGCGUUUAGUGGAUGGUGUACAGCCUUACGAUGCCAGUGUUUAUUCAGGGAAUGCGAAUCCUGUGCCACUGGCUUCAUCUAGUGAGGGUUUGUUAGGUUUGCUCAGCGCUCUAUGGAUUUCCGUUUGCUGCGCGGGGUGAUUCCAAUGUGUAGAGGGUUCAUGUUUAGGUGGACAUAUAGGCAAAAUGCUAAAUCUCUAGUCCAUGCUUGUUCAGUGUUCUCUUUUCUUAGCUCCACGAGCAUUCCAAGUUAUUUGGGGAUAGUCUGUCCUGACUCCUGAAAGAUGUGCUAUCAGUUCACAGACUGAAAGAUGUCCUUUGUGCUUGUUGUUGAUCGUUACUUCUAGUCCUUUCUGUAGCUUCCGAUGGGACACUACUAAAGUACUAAAUAUGAAAUUCAAUUUUUUGCAUUAGUGGUCCGAGGAAAUUCCAUGGUUAACUUGUUCUUAUUGAUUUCAUUUGGAAGUUGCCCAAAAGUUCUGUUCAGUUCAUUUUAGUUCAGCAUAGCCUUAUUUAAGCGUAGCCUUGCUCUCAGAAUUUAUUUUUAUAUUGAUGCCCUCAUAUCAUUGCUGAUGCCAAUUCUCGUCUUAGCAUGAGAAACACUGUCCAUUUUGUGUUAAUAUGGUGCUGCAUCAUGUAUGUUUAUCUAAUACCGUACAUCCAUAGUUGUAGGGAUUGAAGUAUAGAAUAGUAAUUAACAGAACCUUGUCCCCAAUCCUUUAGUUCUAGUAACUUAAUAGACCGUGGUCAUCUCAUAUUUACUGAUGAGUUAAUAGUGGAAGCAGGACAAUGGUCUACAUAAUUGUCGAGUUGCAUUAGGUGACAUAUUGCCAAAUGGCUUUUACCUGUUUCAGCCCUUUCCCAUUGCCAUUUGUACCAUGUUGGGUCCUAGAUGUUUUUCUGAACCACAUGCCUACUUGAUUACACUAAAUAACUGCUGAUCAUGAUGGAUUGGUAUCCAUUGCUGGAAGGCUUCUGCCUGACAAGGUAUCCUACAUAUCCUAUCUUGGCUCCUGUUUGCAGAUUCCUGUCUUGUUUGAUGAAACUAUUUUAGCCAACAUAGAUUUUAACCUCCCAGCAUACUGAAGUGCAACCAAUUCUGUCUCACGCCAUAAGGCUACUCAUUUUAUACAGACUGUAUGUAAUGCAUUAUCAGUUCUUGUAGAAAUCUCUGCUUUCUGCUUUAUUCUGAUUUCUACAAAUUUCUACUUCAGAUUUUUUGUUUGAAAUUGGACUGCAAAUAUAUACUGUGCUAUUGAACCUAGCUAGCUUAGUAGUUGAUAGGUUGAAUGCAUGUUUAAAUAAUGAGAUGAGAUUACCUAAUGUGAUUCUAGUUAAGCUAAUAACUGAAUCUGCUUGUGUUCUUGAGCAGCACUUCUAAGCUGAAGAAUGUGAAAUGAGGUGCUCCACAAUCAGAUGCCAAUUUCAGCACUUCUAAGCUGAAGAAUGUAAUACCUUGGUGAGAUGCACUCAAAACAUAAUUUAUGUGUGUCUUCUUUAGUAUGAGUUUGGAACUACUUAUCAGCUAUCCUGUUAAAGGUUGAGAUCAUUGUGCGCAUUAUAUUAGAUCACAUGUUUCAUGAGUGGACUGAUGUACAGUUUGAAGUAGUAAUCUUCUCUAAGCCCCGUUGUCAGCUGAUAAAUAAGAGCUACUGUCAGCAGAUAAAUCCUGUUGCCUUUUUCCUUGAUGGUGCAAAGAGAAACUAAUUUAUGUAGUGACCAGUCAUAUAUGAUGAGCCACUCUAGAUGGUAAUCAUAUAUAUGGUUCAAUUUGGUGAAGUGAAUGUUUGAAAAAUUAUAUUUGUCCUUUGUGGUCUUAUAUGUUAAUUCUUGCCUUUUCAGCUUUACUCUGGAAAGGGCAUAUGGGAAUCUUUUGAAUACUAGUCUGUGCUAUUUGUUUCACAUGUUAUACAGGUGAACAUUCCUAAGAACAAGGUGUGCAGGAAGCACACUCUGCAAAAGGCAACUCAGUAUAAGAAGGGUAAGGAUAUGGUUGUCAGACCAAGCCUGUCUUCCAGAAGAAGGCCAAGACCACCAAGAAGAUUGUGCUGAAGCUGCAGUGCCAGAGCUGCAAAGGACUACUCACAGUACCCGAUCAAGCCUAGGGGCAGUUGGCCAAAGCUCAGAGGAAAGAAAGUAGCUAGGAGGUAUUUGUAUUGCCAUUUAUUCUAGAGCAACCAUCACAUUUUGAUUGGUCAGGUGGAUACUCUAUGUAAUUGCUUACAAUUUAAUAGACUGUAAUCAAAAUUCCUGUGUACUGUGAAGUGUGAACCAUUUAUCUUAUGUAUUUUGAUCAUGAGAAGUCUUACCUAAGGUCAAUUUUCAGACCUUU